AAGUCGUAACAAGGUUUCCGUAGGUGAACCUGCGGAAGGAUCAUUAACACGUAUCCACGUAUCAACCAAAUGUGAACUUGUUUUCAACUCUCCCUGCCUUAUACACGAAUUGAAUUUAGAAAGUAAUGAUGAGGAACUUCGGUUCAACUUUUUAAAUAACUUAACCUUAGGGUUAGACAAUUGUAGUAUUAGCGUCAGGCAAAAUCCAUUCUACUAAUAAUCUUCUCUCAUCUUGAAGAAUUUAGUAGGAUAAUUUAUACACCUAUUUAACCACUUUUUUGCUAGUUGACUUUUAUAUGUUGGUAAUAUUAUACUUUAUUGUAUGGUAGAAUCACACGUUUAUUAUUUGAACGUUAAAAUUACAACUCUUAGCAAUGGAUAUCUUGGUUCUC
rnacentral:misc_RNA from 1 species